rnacentral:rRNA from 1 species
ACUCCUACGGGAGGCAGCAGUGGGUAAUAUUGGACAAUGGGGGCAACCCUGAUCCAGCAAUGCGGCGUGUGUGAAGAAGGCCUUCGGGUUGUAAAGCACUUUUAUCCGGAACGAAAUAAUCGGGUUAACAACCCGGCGAACUGACGUACC